rnacentral:rRNA from 1 species
AGGACGAACGCUGGCGGCGCGCCUAAUACAUGCAAGUCGAACGGGUACCUCUUCGGAGGUGCUAGUGGCGGACGGGUGAGUAACACGUGGGCGACCUGCCUUUGAGUGGGGAAUAACGCUGGGAAACCAGCGCUAAUACCGCAUGCGCUCGCUGUUUCAUUACGGCGAGGAAAGCUUAAUGCGCUCAAAGAGGGGCCUGCGGCGGAUUAGCUAGUCGGUGGGGUAACGGCCUACCGAGGCAUCGAUCCGUAGCUGGUCUGAGAGGAUGAUCAGCCACACUGGGACUGAGACACGGCCCAGACUCCUACGGGAGGCAGCAGUAAGGAAUCUUCCACAAUGGGGGCAACCCUGAUGGAGCGACGCCGCGUGGACGAAGAAGCUUCUCGGAGUGUAAAGUCCUUUUCCCCGCGAUGAGAGGGACAGUAGCGGGGAAUAAGCCACGGCUAACUACGUGCCAGCAGCCGC